GGACCUCCCGUCUCAUCCUCCUGCCGUGGAUGAGAUCUGCACAGCAGCCCCUGGUUCUCGGGCUUUCAGACUCGACUUGCACACCACUGGCCCCUGGGCCUCCCACUGCGGAGGGCACACAGUGCGACUUCUGACGUGAGCCAGGCCCGCGUGGUGUGUUCUCCCGCGAGCAGGAGCCUCACGACUUCAACCAACUGGCCAAACACACGCCAGCGGGCGGAGAACAGGCCCGUUGGCAGGAAGGCCGCAGCGGCUGCGAGCAGGGAGGGUGGAGGGCUGGCAACCUGGGCAGCCCUUCUUCCGGCUCUCACCAUCCUGAGCUGCACCCAUCCCUGAGCUGAGAUGGGACAGUGAACUUCUGAGAGGACGCGUGAGAUGGACUAACAGUGACGUGCAAAACAACGUGCAAAAGGAUUUCUAAUAACAGCCCACGUGAUGGGGCAGCUGCAGGAUGAGCUGGGUCAGCAGGGCACAGUUCACACAGCUGUGAGCCCGUUACGUGCAGCGCUGGUGCCACCAAAUGUGGGGACGCUGGGGUAUGCAGGCAGGCGUCUCAGCAUCGGAAAAGAACGAAGGCUGCCCCUUAGCCCUGUGCACAGGGAGACGGGGCCAGGAGAGUCUGGCACCAGCUGGGUGGCCUGCGGCGAAGCCAAGCUGGUGCCCCAAACGCAAUAGGC